rnacentral:rRNA from 1 species
CAGCCGCCGCGGGAAUACGUAGGUGGCAAGCGUUGUCCGGAAUUAUUGGGCGUAAAGGGCUCGCAGGCGGUUUCUUAAGUCUGAUGUGAAAGCCCCCGGCUCAACCGGGGAGGGUCAUUGGAAACUGGGAAACUUGAGUGCAGAAGAGGAGAGUGGAAUUCCACGUGUAGCGGUGAAAUGCGUAGAGAUGUGGAGGAACACCAGUGGCGAAAGCGACUCUCUGGUCUGUAACUGACGCUGAGGAGCGAAAGCGUGGGGAGCAAACAGGAUUAGAUACCCGAGAGUCCCUGUCUCUUAUACC